rnacentral:ncRNA from 1 species
AAAGCUAGGGGAGCGAAUGGGAUUAGAUACCCCAAUAGUCUUAGCCGUAAACGAUGGAUACUAUGCGCUGUGCGUAUCGACCCGUGCAGUGUUGUAGCUAACGCGUUAAGUAUCC